rnacentral:rRNA from 1 species
UACGUAGGGUGCAAGCGUUAAUCGGAAUUACUGGGCGUAAAGCGUGCGCAGGCGGUUUUGUAAGACAGUCGUGAAAUCCCCGGGCUCAACCUGGGAAUGGCGAUUGUGACUGCAAAGCUGGAGUGCGGCAGAGGGGGAUGGAAUUCCGCGUGUAGCAGUGAAAUGCGUAGAUAUGCGGAGGAACACCAAUGGCGAAGGCAAUCCCCUGGACCUGUACUGACGCUCAUGCGCGAAAGCGUGGGGAGCAAACAGG